CCUACGGGUGGCAGCAGUGGGGAAUAUUGCACAAUGGGGGAAACCCUGAUGCAGCGACGCCGCGUGAGUGAAGAAGUAUUUCGGUACGUAAAGCUCUAUCAGCAGGGAAGAAAAUGACGGUACCUGACUAAGAAGCCCCGGCUAAAUACGUGCCAGCAGCCGCGGUAAUACGUAGGGGGCAAGCGUUAUCCGGGUUUAAUGGGUGUAAAGGGAGCGUAGGCGGCAGCGCAAGUCUGGAGUGAAAUCCCAUGGCUUAACCAUGGAACUGCUUUGGAAACUGUGCAGCUAGAGUGCAGGAGAGGUAAGCGGAAUUCCUAGUGUAGCGGUGAAAUGCGUAGAUAUUAGGAGGAACACCAGUGGCGAAGGCGGCUUACUGGACUGUAACUGACGUUGAGGCUCGAAAGCGUGGGGAGCAAACAGGAUUAGAUACCCGAGUAGUC
rnacentral:rRNA from 1 species